GAAACCCGCAAGGCCGACAGCGUUCCCGCUGCCGCUGGUGCAAGCCCAGCCGCCCCAGACCGGGGCGGGCGCUCAUGGGUAACAG
ncrna:unclassified sequences Twister-sister ribozyme sequence